rnacentral:rRNA from 1 species
UACGUAGGUGGCAAGCGUUGUUCGGAAUUAUUGGGCGUAAAGGGCUCGUAGGCGGUUUGUCGCGUCGGGAGUGAAAUCCACUGGCUUAACUGGUGGCUUGCUUUCGAUACGGGCAGACUGGAGGUAUGCAGGGGAGAACGGAAUUCCUGGUGUAGCGGUGAAAUGCGCAGAUAUCAGGAGGAACACCGAUGGCGAAGGCAGGUCUCUGGGCCACUACUGACGCUGAGAAGCGAAAGCAUGGGGAGCGAACAGG